GACGAACGCUGGCGGCGUGCCUAAUACAUGCAAGUAGAACGCACAGUUUAUACCGCAGCUUGCUACACCAUAGACUGUGAGUUGCGAACGGGUGAGUAACGCGUAGGUAACCUGCCUGGUAGCGGGGGAUAACUAUUGGAAACGAUAGCUAAUACCGCAUAAUAUUGAUUAUUGCAUGAUAAUUUAUUUAAAGAUGCUAUUGCAUCACUACCACAUGUACCUGCGUUGUAUUAGCUAGUAGGUGAGGUAACGGGUCACCUAGGCGACGAUACAUACCCGAACUGAAAGGGGGGUCGGCCAAACUGGGAAUGAGACAAGGCCCAGAAUCCUACGGGAAGCAGCAGGAGGGAAACUUCGGCAAAGGAAGAAAGUCAGAACGAGGAAAGCCGGGGGAGUGAAGAAGGAUUUCGGAUCGUAAAGCUCUGUUGUAAGAGAAGAACGGGUGUGAGAGUGGAAAGUUCACACUGUGACGGUAUCUUACCAGAAAGGGACGGCUAACUACGUG
rnacentral:rRNA from 1 species